GGUGGCAGGAGAGACAAUGAGUGCAAGCAGGGGAAAUGACAGAAGAUUAUAAAACCAUCAGAUCUGAACUACUGCAGGAACAUACCAGAGAAGCCGAGAGAAUCCACAGAUCCUUUGAAGGAACUGGAUCACUGCUGCAGGCUCCCUGAGACACUGAAACACUAUCACACAAAGAAGAAGUCAUGUGAACACACAGCAAGAAUGUGGCAGCCUACAAGUCAAGAGAAGAGGCCCCAGAGUCUACCUUGCAGGCACCAUGAUCUUGGAUCUUCCAGUCUUCAGAACUGGUAAUCCAAGAUGGACCAGAAAUUCAGGAUCUUCACGGUUAACGUGGUGGCAGUCAGAAAGAAAUGCAAUAGAACUAAUUUAAGUUCUAGAUCAUGAUAGCCUGUGAUAUGGUUAUGAUCUGCUAUUGUUCGUGAUUUCCUGUACCAUCAUAUGACACAAUGAAGAGAUGACCAUGUGCAAACCACAUAGAGUACCCUUACCAGACACUAGAGCUGGCAGAAAUUUGAUCUUGGACUUCCCAGUCUCCAGAACUGUGAGAAAUAAAUGUUUGUUGUUUAUGAAACUUAGUCUAUGGUAUUCUGUUAUAUAGCAGCUUGAGCUGACUAAUGUGAUAUUAUUAAGUCAAGAAAAACAAUUGGAUAAUUUAUCAAGAUUAUUUUAUGGCAGACAAUUUAUUUCAACAUUACUUAAAAGCAUUGAAACUUUUCUAUGCUGAGAAUUACAGUGCUGCUGGUGAAAGUGGUGCUAGAGCUUGUGUGUGUGUCUGUGUGUGUGUCUAAUCGCAUUCAGGGAGCAUUUGUUUAGUCUGUUUUAAUGCUAUCAGAGCUAACAUUUGUGUAUGUUUGUUUUCUUUAUCUCAGCUCUGGCAAAUCCAUGAAAAACAGAUGAAAGCCAAAUCUUUCAUUAUUUCUAAAUCCCUGAUUAUGACAUAUUUCUCCUACAACGUGUCCCAAAAGAAUGAGAAAAGCAUCUGUAACUACGCACAGGUUAUGUUGUAGUCCCCUCAGUAGCAUUUUGUCCAUAUGGAGCUUAAUUCUGUAAACUACCUAUAACUAGGUAUAAAAUUCAGACAGAAAAUAGCAAUUUAUCACAAGUGUCCAGCUGGCUUCUUCUUCUAAGUGGUUAUUUCCUAAUCUGCAAUCCAGCCAUUCACUGCCCACUCACAUUUUUGAGCUAUAAAAUCAAUAAUAAAUAGCAAGAACAUUCCCUUGAGAGCUUAGCCAUGCAUUCCAACUGGG
rnacentral:lncRNA from 1 species